AAUAGAUACCUGGGUAGUCCACGCCGUAAACGAUGGAUACUAGCUGUUCGUCCGCCUCGGCGGAUGAGUGGCUAAGCGAAAGUGAUAAGUAUCCCACCUGGGGAGUACGAACGCAAGUUUGAAACUCAAAGGAAUUGACGGGGGCCCGCACAAGCGGUGGAGCAUGUGGUUUAAUUCGAUGAUACGCGAGGAACCUUACCAAGGCUUAAAUGUAGAUUGACAGGACUGGAAACAGUUUUUUCUUCGGACAAUUUACAAGGUGCUGCAUGGUUGUCGUCAGCUCGUGCCGUGAGGUGUCAGGUUAAGUCCUAUAACGAGCGCAACCCCUGUUGUUAGUUGCCAGCGAGUCAAGUCGGGAACUCUAACAAGACUGCCAGUGUAAACUGUGAGGAAGGUGGGGAUGACGUCAAAUCAUCACGGCCCUUACGCCUUGGGCUACACACGUGCUACAAUGGCCGGUACAGAGAGCAGCCACUGCGCGAGCAGGAGCGAAUCUAUAAAACCGGUCACAGUUCGGAUCGGAGU
rnacentral:rRNA from 1 species